rnacentral:tRNA from 1 species
GGGGUGUUAACUUAAGUUUUAAAGUGUUAGAUUUUUAAUCUAGAAAUGGAGUUCCACGCUCUG